rnacentral:rRNA from 1 species
UACGUAGGGUGCAAGCGUUGUCCGGAAUUAUUGGGCGUAAAGAGCUCGUAGGCGGUCUGUCGCGUCGGCUGUGAAAACCCGAGGCUCAACCUCGGGCCUGCAGUCGAUACGGGCAAACUAGAGUACUGCAGGGGAGACUGGAAUUCCUGGUGUAGCGGUGAAAUGCGCAGAUAUCAGGAGGAACACCGGUGGCGAAGGCGGCAUCCUGGACCGGCAUUGACGCUGAUGAGCGAAAGCUAAGGGAGCAAACGGG